rnacentral:sRNA from 1 species
UGGGACUGAGUACUGAGGAGGAGGAGCUGGAGAAUGCAGGAAAAGGGGGAAUUGGGCCAGGUGGGGUGGCUCACACCUGUAAUCCCAGCACUUUGGGAGGCUGAGGUGGGCGGAUCACCUGAGGUCGGGAGUUCGAGACCAGCCUGACCAACAUGGAGAAACCCCGUCCCUACUAAAAAUACAAAAUUAGCUGGGCGUGGUGGCGCAUGCCUGUAAUCCCAUCUACUCAGGAGGCUGAAGCAGGAGAAUCGCUUGAACCCGGGAGGCGGAGGUUGCAGUGAGCCAAGAUUAUGCCAUUGCACUCCAGCCUGGGCAACGAGCAAAACUCUCUCAAAAAAAAAAAAAGAAAAGGGGGAACUGGAAGGACUCCAAGGGUUUGGAAAGAGGGUGUGGGUCUUGGAAACGAUGGAGUAGGACGUAAUUGGCCCUGGGCCUGAGUCUGAAGGCCAGAGCUUCAGAAUUCCACUCCUGUGCACUGGAAGAGCAGGCCCAGUGGGCUGGGAAGGCACAGGGCUGCCUGGAGCCAUGUGAGUCUAAUCAAGGUUCCCGCUAGAUCUACCCUCUCCUGCAGCUCCGUGGAUGGCCGUGUGAGACGCUAUGACCUGAGGAUGGGGCAGCUCUUCUCAGACUACGUGGGCAGCCCCAUCACCUGCACCUGCUUUAGCCGGGAUGGGCAGUGCACCCUGGUGUCCAGCCUGGACUCCACAUUGCGGCUCCUGGACAAAGACACAGGGGAGCUGCUGGGCGAGUACAAAGGCCAUAAGAACCAGGAAUACAAGCUGGACUGCUGCCUGAGUGAGCGUGACACACAUGUGGUCAGCUGCUCUGAGGACGGGAAGGUGUUCUUCUGGGACCUGGUGGAGGGUGCGCUGGCUCUGGCCCUGCCUGUGGGUUGCGGUGUGGUG